rnacentral:rRNA from 1 species
UUGACCUCAAAUCAGGUAGGACUACCCGCUGAACUUAAGCAUAUCAAUAAGCGGAGGAAAAGAAACUAACAAGGAUUCCCCUAGUAACUGCGAGUGAAGCGGGAAAAGCUCAAAUUUAAAAUCUGGCAGUCUCUGGCUGUCCGAGUUGUAAUCUAGAGAAGUGUUAUCCGUGCUGGACCGUGUAUAAGUCUCCUGGAAUGGAGCGUCAUAGAGGGUGAGAAUCCCGUCUUGGACAUGGACUACCAGUACAUUGUGAUGCGCUCUCAAAGAGUCGAGUUGUUUGGGAAUGCAGCUCUAAAUGGGUGGUAAAUUCCAUCUAAAGCUAAAUAUUGGCGA